rnacentral:rRNA from 1 species
AGAGUUUGAUUCUGGCUCAGAACGAACGCUGGCAGCGUGGAUUAGGCAUGCAAGUCGAACGGGAAGCCGUUGAUCAAUCUUCGGAGAGUGAUUCGGAGGAGAGUGGCGAAAGGGUGAGUAACGCGUGUAUAAGCUACCCUCAAGUUGGGGACAACGUCUGGAAACGGGCGCUAAUACCGGAUGUGGUCUUGUGGCGCAUGUCACAAUGACUAAAGGUGGGGAUCCUUCGGGACCUGCCGCUUGAGGAGGUGUACGCGUGCCAUUAGCUUGUUGGUGAGGUAACGGCUCACCAAGGCUUAUGGCUAGCUGGUCUGAGAGGAUGAUCAGCCACACUGGGACUGAGACACUGCCCAGACUCCUACGGGAGGCUGCAGUCGAGGAUCAUUCGCAAUGCGCGAAAGCGUGACGAUGCGACGCUGCGUGGAGGAUGACGGCCUUCGGGUUGUAAACUCCUGUCAUUCGGGAAAAACGGCCCUAUGCCGAUAACGCAUGGGGUGUGAUGGUACCGGAAGAGGAAGCCACGGCUAACUCUGUGCCAGCAGCCGCGGUAAUACAGAGGUGGCGAGCGUUGUUCGGAUUUACUGGGCGUAAAGCGUGUGUAGGCGGUUUCGUAUGUCGGAUGUGAAAGCCCAUGGCUCAACUAUGGAAUUGCAUCCGAAACUGCGGGACUAGAGUACAGUAGGGGAGAGCGGAAUUCUAGGUGUAGCGGUGAAAUGCGUUGAUAUCUAGAAGAACACCGGUGGCGAAGGCGGCUCUCUGGAAUGUUACUGACGCUCAGACACGAAAGUCGGGGGAGCAAACAGGAUUAGAUACCCUGGUAGUCCCGACCGUAAACGGUGUGCACUUGGUGUGGGGGGUAUUGACCCCCCCCGUGCCGGAGCUAACGCGUUAAGUGCACCGCCUGGGGAGUACGGCCACAAGGCUAAAACUCAAAGAAAUUGACGGGGGCCCGCACAAGCGGAGGAGCAUGUGGCUUAAUUCGAUGCAACGCGAAGAACCUUACCUGGGCUUGACAUGGUACUCACGUCCUGUGAAAGCAGGAUUCCUUCGAGGGUGUAUCACAGGCGCUGCAUGGCUGUCGUCAGUUCGUGCCGUGAGGUGUUUGGUUAAGUCCAGCGACGAACGCAACCCUUGUGGUUAGUUGCCACCGGAGGUGAUGAGCCUUCGAGCACUCUAGCCAGACUGCCCGUACAAGCGGGAGGAAGGUGGGGAUGACGUCAAGUCAGUAUGGCCCUUACGCCCAGGGCUGCACACGUGCUACAAUGGCCGGUACAGUGGGAGGCAAUACCGCGAGGUGGAGCAAAUCCCCAAAACCGGCCCCAGUUCGGAUUGGAGUCUGCAACUCGACUCCAUGGAG